rnacentral:rRNA from 1 species
UACGUAGGUGACCAGCGUUGUCCGGAUUUACUGGGCGUAAAGAGCGCGCAGGCGGUCGUUCAAGUCGAGUGUGAAAGCCCCCGGCUCAACUGGGGAGGGUCAUUCGAUACUGAUCGACUGGAAGGCAGGAGAGGGAAGCGGAAUUCCCGGUGUAGUGGUGAAAUGCGCAGAUAUCAGGAAGAACACCCGUGGCUAAGGCGGCUCUCUAGUACGGUACUGACGCUGAGACGCGAAAGCGUGGGGAGCGAACAGG